GGGGAAUAUUGCACAAUGGGGGAAACCCUGAUGCAGCAACGCCGCGUGAAGGAUGAAGGUUUUCGGAUUGUAAACUUCUUUAGUCAGGGACGAAAAAAAUGACGGUACCUGAAGAAUAAGCCACGGCGAACUACGUGCCAGCAGCCGCGGUAAUACGUAGGUGGCAAGCGUUGUCCGGAAUUACUGGGUGUAAAGGGCGUGUAGGCGGGAAUGUAAGUCAGAUGUGAAAUCCCAGGGCUUAACCCUGGAGCUGCAUCUGAAACUAUGUUUCCUGAGUGCCGGAGAUGAAAGCGGAAUUCCGAGGGUAGCGGUGAGAUGCGUAGUUAUUAGGAGGAACACCAGUGGCGAAGGCGGCUUUCUGGACGGUAACUGACGCUGAGGCGCGAAAGCGUGGGGAGCAAAC
rnacentral:rRNA from 1 species